rnacentral:rRNA from 1 species
UACGUGGGGUGCAAGCGUUGUUCGGAAUUACUGGGCGUAAAGCGCGUGUAGGUGGCCAAGCGGGUCAGAUGUGAAAGCCCUCAGCUUAACUGAGGAAGUGCGUCUGAAACUAUUUGGCUCGAGUAUGGGAGAGGAAGAUGGAAUUCCCAGUGUAGAGGUGAAAUUCGUAGAUAUUGGGAAGAACACCUGUGGCGAAAGCGAUUUUCUGGACCAUAACUGACACUGAGACGCGAAAGCGUGGGGAUCAAACAGG